rfam:Daphnia pulex DAPPTscaffold_136_Cont5540, whole genome shotgun sequence.
GUGGUGGAGGUAUAGUGGUUAGCAUAGUUGUCUCCUAAGCAAUUGACCCGAGUUCGAUUAUCGGCCAUCGUA